rnacentral:lncRNA from 15 species
AAUUAGUUUGAUUCUUUCAUAAACAACAGCUCCAACAGCAGGAUAAUGUGAGGUCUCACUGUGUGUAAUAACAGCUCCACUUCAAUGACUAGCUUUAAAUUAAAUGGUUUAAUGUUUGGCACAGGUUUGGGUCAAUUUUAGGCUUUAGAUGUCUCAUACGUUUACCAGGAGUGCUGUUUUCUUUCUACUGAAGCUAAGAUUACCAACAGUUGACAUGUUGAGCUGCUAAUUUCAAAUGAUACAUAACUCAUGCAAAAUCCACGUGUUAAUAACAUAUUCUCUCAAAUUGGUGUUCAUUAGUUGUACCAUCGUAUUGUCACAAUAAAAGAAUAAUAACUUAAAAAUAACAUAUUCUCAUUUUCUAUAUAUUGUAAAAACAAAAACAUUGACGCCCGAACAGGGACUUGAACCCUGGACCCUCAGAUUAAAAGUCUGAUGCUCUACCGACUGAGCUAUCCGGGCUCUGACAUGUGAACCGGAAGUGGUCCUUAUAAAUGCCGGGGAACCACUCCACCCGGACACGAGUUCGAAUCUCACCCGAGGCAGGUCGACAAAAAUCCGGCAAGAAAAUUUAAACACAAGAAAAUAACAUGGUCGCAUUUUUUGACCUCACAUAUGACCCAAAACAACGCGAAAAAUGUACGAAGCAGCUCAUCAAAGAGCUCGAAAAUGCAAUUCAAGACAACACCGACAGACUGGAGGAGGUCGGGCAGAGACGACUGCGAGCUGAGGAGGAGAAAAUUAAAUGUACCAGAGAAACUGAGCGGAGAGCGGAUCUGAUGGUGGAAAAAACUGAAGCCGUUGAGUGGUUGCAGGAACUGGGGUUUCGGCUACAAGAGGAAAAGCACCUUUCUGAGCAGCUGAACGGUCAAACCUCUGCAGACCGAAAUCAAAGGAAGGAAUUGCAGCAAAGGAGUGAGUGUCUCACAGACAAGGAGAGUAGCCUCGCUGCUGUAAUUCUAGAGGUGAAACAAUCUCUGGCGGAGGCCAAGGCCCGUAAUAUGGCAGCACAAGCUUCAAUCUGUGCACCAACCAGCAAAUCAAAGAGAAGGCAAAACAAACCCAAUUGA